AAACCAUGAGUGGGGGGCACUUUAAAAUAAGAUUUUUAAAUCUCUCCCAACUCUCAUAAAAAUUUUCAUGUUCUUCUUGACAAAAAUCAGUAAUCUCCCUCCUUAGAGU